CUGAUUCAGCGGCGGACGGGUGAGUAAUGCCUAGGAAUCUGCCCGAUAGUGGGGGACAACGUUUCGAAAGGAACGCUAAUACCGCAUACGUCCUACGGGAGAAAGUGGGGGAUCUUCGGACCUCACGCUAUCGGAUGAGCCUAGGUCGGAUUAGCUAGUUGGUGAGGUAAUGGCUCACCAAGGCGACGAUCCGUAACUGGUCUGAGAGGAUGAUCAGUCACACUGGAACUGAGACACGGUCCAGACUCCUACGGGAGGCAGCAGUGGGGAAUAUUGGACAAUGGGCGAAAGCCUGAUCCAGCCAUGCCGCGUGUGUGAAGAAGGUCUUCGGAUUGUAAAGCACUUUAAGUUGGGAGGAAGGGCAGUAAGCUAAUACCUUGCUGUUUUGACGUUACCAACAGAAUAAGCACCGGCUAACUUCGUGCCAGCAGCCGCGGUAAUACGAAGGGUGCAAGCGUUAAUCGGAAUUACUGGGCGUAAAGCGCGCGUAGGUGGUUCAGCAAGUUGGAUGUGAAAUCCCCGGGCUCAACCUGGGAACUGCAUCCAAAACUACUGAGCUAGAGUACGGUAGAGGGUGGUGGAAUUUCCUGUGUAGCGGUGAAAUGCGUAGGUAUAGGAAGGAACACCAGUGGCGAAGGCGACCACCUGGACUGAUACUGACACUGAGGUGCGAAGGCGUGGGGAGCAAACAGGAUUAGAUACCCUGGUAGUCCACGCCGUAAACGAUGUCAACUAGCUGUUGGGUUCCUUGAGAACUUAGUAGCGAAGCUAACGCGAUAAGUUGACCGCCUGGGGAGUGCG
rnacentral:rRNA from 1 species